AGAAGAAAAAUCUAAAGGAGGAGGGAGGAGGAUGGAUCAACGAAACGAUUCACCAGUCAAAAAAAAAAAAAUAUCAAUUGCAUCUCCAGAGACCACUCAAUUGAAAGGAGAAAGAUGAUUUGGUAGUACAUUGAGCAAUCCCAAAAAGAAAAGUUUGAUCCUCCAAAACUGGACCCCUCUUAAAAGAUCUCAAACUCCAAAGCAGUAGGACAAUUGAUCUUUUUGAGAGGGUUCCAGUUUCUUUAUUCUUCUUCAAUCUUGUUUCCUGGGUUUGUUUGUUUUUUGUUUUUUCCCGGGAAAGUUUUCAUAUUUAUUUUUAUUAUAAAUGUGGGGAGCGGCGGCAGAACCAGCAGAUUCUUAUUACCAGAUUCGCCCUGAGUGCACCGAUGUCCCCAAUACCAGAUUCAAGAUCAAACCUGGUAAAACUCUUAGUGUAAGGAAAUGGCAGGCUGCAUUUACACAGGAAGGGUUCCUCGAUAUUGGCAAGACUCUAAGUCGAAUCCAACGUGGGGGGAUCCAUCCAUCGAUUAGAGGAGAAGUGUGGGAGUUCUUACUUGGUUGUUAUGAUCCAAAGAGCACUUUUGAAGAAAGAGAGCAAAUCAGACAACGCAGAAGAUUGCAGUAUGCUUCUUGGAAGCAGGAAUGUAAACAAAUGUUUCCAGUCAUCGGAAGUGGUGGAUUCAUCACCGCACCUGUAAUUACUGAAAAGGGUCAACCCAUUCUUGAUCCUCUUGUACUACAAGAAACAAACUUAGGGGAGGAUUCUGAUUUCUUCAAAGAGCUUGAAAGCAGAGGACCUUUGGACAAGAAAGUUAUCCAAUGGAUGCUAACACUUCACCAGAUAGGUCUUGAUGUAAACCGCACUGAUAGGACAUUGGUGUUCUACGAGAAGAAGGAGAAUUUGUCUAAGCUUUGGGACAUUCUAGCUCUCUACGCUUGGAUAGACAAUGACGUUGGGUACUGCCAAGGAAUGAGUGAUCUUUGUUCUCCUAUGAUCAUGCUUCUUGAAGAUGAAGCUGAUGCUUUUUGGUGUUUUGAAAGAUUGAUGCGGAGAUUGAGAGGAAACUUCAGGAGCACGGGAAGAUCAGUUGGAGUUGAAGCACAGCUUACUCAUUUGUCUACAAUCACUCAGAUCAUCGACCCUAAACUUCACCAUCACUUAGAGAAUCUUGGUGGAGGUGACUAUCUCUUUGCGAUUCGAAUGAUAAUGGUUCAGUUCAGAAGAGAGUUCUCUUUCUGCGACUCCUUGUACCUUUGGGAGAUGAUGUGGGGAUUAGAGUAUGACCCGGAGAUGUAUUCACUGUACGAGGAGCCUGAGUUCGAGGGAGAGAGAACGGAAGGUUCAUCCAAAGGCAAACCCAAAUCGAUAAAACAAUGUGGGAAGUACGAGAGAGAGAACAUGAAGAACGGUGGAAAAAGCAACGCAGAAGGUCCUUUGCCUAUAUCGGUUUUCUUGGUGGCGAGUGUUUUGAAAGACAAGAGUUCUAAGCUUAUGACUGAAGCUCGAGGUCUUGAUGAUGUUGUUAAGGUAAUGCAGACAUACUUGAUGAUGUUGUUAAGAUCUUAAACGACAUAACCGGAAACUUGGAUGCUAAAAAGGCAUGUGCUGGUGCAAUGAAGCUACACAAGAAGUAUCUAAAAAAGCAGGCCAAGAAAUAGCACUGGAGAAGAGCCAUGAGUAGCGUUUUUUGUAUGUGUUUUUUUUUUACAUACUGUAUUUGAUAACUCGCAAAAUCUGGCGACGAAAAAAUUUCAGAGACUUGGGAGACAACUUCAAAAGAAAGAAAAAAAACAGAGUCCUACACGCAACAACUUUUCGUUGUACGGUGUUCAUACAAAUCCAUGUUGUAAUAUUUAAUUUUAACAAACUAUGAUUACCUCUUGGGUUCUAAACUACACGCAUACAAGUUUUCUACGAAACAGAACAUGCAUGCAAACAAGUACAGCAGACCAAAGCUAAGUGAGCUGCUUGUGCUAGGUAAAACCAAUAGAGGAUCGGAGAACAACGCACAUUAAACCGAAUAAACGUUUUUAUUGAGAAGAAACAAAGACACCAGAAAAGUUCAUAACAUAAAUAGUCACAAGUUUUUUAAAACACUCCCUUUAUUGCAACUCCUUCCACAUAAAGAAGUAUCAAGGGAAAUUUUCUUAGUUAAAAAAAAA